GAUGAACGCUGGCGGCGUGCUUAAUACAUGCAAGUCGAGCGAACGGACGAGCAGCUUGCUUUUCUGAUGUUAGCGGCGGACGGGUGAGUAACACGUGGAUAACCUACCUUUAAGUGUGGGGUAAAUUCGGGAAACCGGAGCUAAUACCGGAUAAUGUUUUGAACCGCAUGGUUCAACAGUGACAGACGGUGUUACUGUCACUUAUAGAUGGAUCCGCGCUGCCUUAGCUAGUUGUUAAGGUAACGGCUUACCAAGGCAACGAUGCAUAGCCGACCUGAGAGACUGAGCGCCUCCACUGGAACUGAGACUCCGUGCUGAGUCCUCCGUGCGGCAGCAAAGGACAAUCUUCGGCACAGGGCGAAAGCCAUACCGAGCAACGCCGCGCCAGUGGUGGACAUCUUCGACUCGGAACACUCUCUUAUCAGGGAAGAACAUAGGUGUAAGGAACAGUGGCCGUCUUGACGGUACCUGAUCAGCAAGCCCCGGCUACCUCCGCG
rnacentral:rRNA from 1 species